rnacentral:misc_RNA from 1 species
AACGCACAUUGCGCCCGCCAGUAUUCUGGCGGGCAUGCCUGUUCGAGCGUCAUUUCAACCAUCAGGCCUAUUCAGGCUUGUGUUGGGGCGCUGCGGCUGCCGCAGCCCUCUAAAUGCAGUGGCGGGCUCGCUGUUACCCCGAGCGCAGUAGCGUAUCUCGCUUUGGGCGUACUGGCGGGUGCUAGCCGUGAAACACUCACUAAGGUUGACCUCGGAUCAGGUAGGAAUACCCGCUGAACUUAA